rnacentral:rRNA from 1 species
CGAACGCUGGCGGCGUGCCUAAUACAUGCAAGUUGAGCGAUGAAGAUUGGUGCCUGCACCAAUUUGAAGAGCAGCGAACGGGUGAGUAACGCGUGGGGAAUCUGCCUUUGAGCGGGGGACAACAUUUGGAAACGAAUGCUAAUACCGCAUAACAACUUUAAACAUAAGUUUUAAGUUUGAAAGAUGCAAUUGCAUCACUCAAAGAUGAUCCCGCGUUGUAUUAGCUAGUUGGUGAGGUAAAGGCUCACCAAGGUGAUGAUACAUAGCCGACCUGAGAGGGUGAUCGGCCACAUUGGGACUGAGACACGGCCCAAACUCCUACGGGAGGCAGCAGUAGGGAAUCUUCGGCAAUGGACGAAAGUCUGACCGAGCAACGCCGCGUGAGUGAAGAAGGUUUUCGGAUCGUAAAACUCUGUUGGUAGAGAAGAACGUUGGUGAGAGUGGAAAGCUCAUCAAGUGACGGUAACUACCCAGAAAGGGACGGCUAACUACGUG